rnacentral:rRNA from 1 species
AUUGAACGCUGGCGGUAUGCUUAACACAUGCAAGUCGAACGGUAGCAGCAGAAAGCUUGCUUUCUGGCUGACGAGUGGCGGACGGGUGAGUAAUGCGUAGGAAUCUGCCCAGUAGCUGGGGAUAACGUGGGGGAAACUCACGCUAAUACCGAAUACGCCCUACGGGGGAAAGGAGGGGAUCUUUGGACCUUCCACUAUUGGAUGAGCCUACGUCAGAUUAGCUUGUUGGUGGGGUAACGGCCUACCAAGGCGACGAUCUGUAGCUGGUCUGAGAGGACGAUCAGCCACACUGGGACUGAGACACGGCCCAG